rnacentral:ncRNA from 1 species
GGGGAUCUUCGGAGCCCUUCACCGCCGGGUGGCGACACCCGUGCAAGCAAACGGAAGACAGGAA